rnacentral:rRNA from 1 species
CCUACGGGAGGCUGCAGUGGGGAAUAUUGGACAAUGGGGGCAACCCUGAUCCAGCCAUGCCGCGUGUGUGAAGAAGGCCCUCGGGUUGUAAAGCACUUUCAGUGAGGAAGAACGCCUGGUGGUUAAUACCCAUCAGGAAAGACAUCACUCACAGAAGAAGCACCGGCUAACUCCGUGCCAGCAGCCGCGGUAAUACGGAGGGUGCGAGCGUUAAUCGGAAUUACUGGGCGUAAAGCGCGCGUAGGUGGCUUGAUAAGCCGGUUGUGAAAGCCCCGGGCUCAGCCUGGGAACGGCAUCCGGAACUGUCAAGCUAGAGUGCAGGAGAGGAAGGUAGAAUUCCCGGUGUAGCGGUGAAAUGCGUAGAGAUCGGGAGGAAUACCAGUGGCGAAGGCGGCCUUCUGGACUGACACUGACACUGAGGUGCGAAAGCGUGGGUAGCAAACAGGAUUAGAUACCCCUGUAGUC